AUGAACGCUGGCGGCGUGCCUAAUACAUGCAAGUCGAGCGAACAGACGAGGAGCUUGCUCCUUUGACGUUAGCGGCGGACGGGUGAGUAACACGUAGGUAACCUACCUAUAAGACUGGGAUAACUUCGGGAAACCGGAGCUAAUACCGGAUAAUAUUUCGAACCGCAUGGUUCGAUAGUGAAAGAUGGCUUUGCUAUCACUUAUAGAUGGACCUGCGCCGUAUUAGCUAGUUGGUAAGGUAACGGCUUACCAAGGCAACGAUACGUAGCCGACCUGAGAGGGUGAUCGGCCACACUGGAACUGAGACACGGUCCAGACUCCUACGGGAGGCAGCAGUAGGGAAUCUUCCGCAAUGGGCGAAAGCCUGACGGAGCAACGCCGCGUGAGUGAUGAAGGUCUUCGGAUCGUAAAACUCUGUUAUUAGGGAAGAACAAACGUGUAAGUAACUGUGCACGUCCUGACGGUACCUAAUCAGAAAGCCACGGCUAACUACGUG
rnacentral:rRNA from 1 species